rfam:Gossypium raimondii chromosome 11, whole genome shotgun sequence.
UCCUCAGUAGCUUAGCGGUGGAGUGGUCGACUGUUAACUGACUGGUCGUAGGUUCGAAUCCUACUUGAGGAG